rnacentral:misc_RNA from 1 species
GUGAAUCAUCGAAUCUUUGAACGCACAUUGCGCCCGCCAGUAUUCUGGCGGGCAUGCCUGUCUGAGCGUCAUUUCAACCCUCAUGCCCCUAGGGCGUGGUGUUGGGGAUCGGCCAAAGCCCGCAAGGGACGGCCGGCCCCUAAAUCUAGUGGCGGACCCGUCGUGGCCUCCCCUGCGAAGUAGUGAUAUUCCGCAUCGGAUAGCGACGAGCCCCUGCCGUUAAACCCCCCAAACUUUUACAAGGUUGACCUCAGAUCAGGUAGGAAUACCCGCUGAACUUAAGCAUAUCAAUAAGCGGAGGA